rnacentral:lncRNA from 1 species
CAACUGUCACCAGGUAAAGUCUGGAUAUCUGAAGAGUCUGUUGAUGCUGGUCAGUGGGGCCGAACCGACCCUCUCCGUCCCCUGCUUGCAUCCUCCCAUCCUGCCGACAGCGCAUGUUCUCAUCUCCGCCGCUGGCAUUAUGUGCCCACCUGCGACUGUCCCGCCGAAAAAGGGUCUCUCAUCCGGCAUUACGUGCCCGCCAGAGAGUCUACAAAAGGCGCAUCUCUCUCCUCCCUCCAUGUUGUCUGUGCCGCUGCGUGGUUUUACACAGACCAUCUGACAGCACAAUGAUAAUCUACAGAGACACAAAUGAACAGCAAACCGAUACCUUUGAUGACACCGAUGAACAACAUGAUUACAACAGUUGGUGGUUGCCUAGCAACGGUAAAGCGUCAGCUCUUUCCCUUCUAUGUUUGUCCGCUGUGUGUAUGGGGCAGGAGCUGUGCUUGGUGUCUCCGUCAGUAACCAUCAGCUGUUUCUCUGUUGUCAGAAUAAAUUCCGUGAACCUGACUAUAGCCUGUGUGUUGUCUCUACUGAUCCGAACCGAACAAGAGGGUUACAGUUACAUGGGCCCAAUUAAUGUUGACCAGAAAAAGGCCAUCACAGAUGCUGUUACUUUGCAUGGACUGUUGAGGCUCAUCCCAAUCCUGAACCAGCUACGUGAGGAGUUGAGGCUGUAUGGAGUAGAUGAGGUUUUGGGCCACCAUGACCAGAUGUGCAAGCAACUAUUUGUUCCUGGCUUCAUACAGGAGAGGCGCUAG